rnacentral:tRNA from 1 species
ACUGAAAUAGGCUAAUGGUAAACCAUACGAUUCAUACUUGUAUUUUGAAGGUUCGAAUCCUUCUUUCAGUA